rnacentral:rRNA from 1 species
GACGAACGCUGGCGGCGUGCUUAACACAUGCAAGUCGAGCGGAAAGGCCCUGCUUGCAGGGUACUCGAGUGGCGAACGGGUGAGUAACACGUGGGUGAUCUGCCCUGCACUUCGGGAUAAGCUUGGGAAACUGGGUCUAAUACCGGAUAGGACCGCACUUUAGUGUGUGUGGUGGAAAGUUUUUUCGGUGUAGGAUGAGCUCGCGGCCUAUCAGCUUGUUGGUGGGGUAAUGGCCUACCAAGGCGGCGACGGGUAGCCGGCCUGAGAGGGUGUACGGCCACAUUGGGACUGAGAUACGGCCCAGACUCCUACGGGAGGCAGCAGUGGGGAAUAUUGCACAAUGGGCGCAAGCCUGAUGCAGCGACGCCGCGUGGGGGAUGAAGGCCUUCGGGUUGUAAACUCCUUUCGCUAGGGACGAAGCUUUUUGUGACGGUACCUAGAGAAGAAGCACCGGCUAACUACGUG